rnacentral:rRNA from 1 species
GGUUAAAAAGCUCGUAGUUGGAUCUCGGCAAGUAGAGGGCGGUAUGCUUCGUAGCAUUACUGCCCUAUUACUUGUAGUUUUGCCAGAGGUUCCUGGGUGCUCUUAAUCGAGUGUCUAGGGAUGCUGGCAGGUUUACUUUGAAAAAAUUAGAGUGCUCAAAGCAGGCUAUUACGCUUGAAUAUUCGUGCAUGGAAUAAUAGAAUAGGAAGUUGUUUCUAUUUUGUUGGUUUUCGGAAAUCGACUUAAUGAUUAAUAGGGACAGUCGGGGCAUUUGUAUUCAAACGACAGAGGUGAAAUUCUUGGACCGUUUGAAGACAAACUACUGCGAAAGCAUUUGCCAAGAAUGUCUUCAUUAAUCAAGAACGAAAGUUAGAGGUUCGAAGGCGAUUAGAUACCGCCCUAGUUCUAACCAU